rnacentral:rRNA from 1 species
UACAGGGGGUGCAAACGUUGCUCGGAAUUAUUGGGCGUAAAGCGCGCGUAGGCGGCUCGUUGCGUCGGCUGUGAAAACCCGCAGCUCAACUGUGGGCUUGCAGCUGAUACGGGCGGGCUGGGAUUCGGUAGGGGAGACUGGAAUUCCUGGUGUAGCGGUGAAAUGCGCAGAUAUCAGGAGGAACAUCGGUGGCGAAGGCGGGUCUCUGGGCCGAUAUCGACGCUGAGGAGCGAAAGCGUGGGGAGCGAACAGG